CAGGGUUUUGGCAGCGAGGCUCCUGGCACAGAGGGUGAAGAGGAAAGAUCUCGCUGCGAGCUUGGAGGAUGUGUGGACGAGGCCAUUCCAGCAGAAAAGUUUCCCUGAGGACGGGGCUCCCUGGAUGUGGUACGCUGCAUCCUCCCCUUACCUAGAAGGAAAUCACCCCAUAGAGCCUUCCAGCAUGCGCACAGGGAAAACUUUGGGUAAAGCCUUACUUUGAGAAGAUGCAAAAUACUCUGAGUAUGGAUCAUCUGCAGGCCAUCUGCCGUGCCCUUGGAGACCACAGCGGGCUUGUAGACAGCAGCUGGGCUUUGUUACACUGUGCUGGCCAGCCACUUCGAAGCCCUGGGGAACAUCAGCUCGCUUUUUCCUCGUGUUUUCAUCAUAGAGCAGUGGAGAGGAAGGAGUCGGAGUGAGGGUGGCAGCUGGGACGCUGCUGAACCAUCGCUGCAGGCUCCUUCUGGGGCUUUUGCCUCCUGCACUCAUUUGCGUGCUGCAAUUCUCUUAUUGCCUGGAUUUCCAUGACCCUUUAGCCACGAGAAGGGGAUGUGUGGAGCCAGGAAGAGGGUCCCUCCACCAGUUAUUUCCCUUCGUGAAGCAGCUCAGAACUGAUCUCUAACAAUGUCCAUCCCCCCAGUGUGGCUGCAGUUCUGCCCUAAUGGCCCCGUUUGGCUCCAGCCUCGCACUUGUGCUGUGUGGGAACACUCUUACCCUCGUAAUAUAUGAGGUUCUAAGACAUCCAGUCAGGAAAACAUAAAUGAAAUGUCUUGGGGAGAAAAAAAUGUGAAAAGGCACCGUGCAACCUCAACAGUUUCCAGCAGGACGCUUAUGCUGAUGUAGGUGUGACAGAGGAAUGCUGAUCCCGGUGCCAGUGCUGCCUCCUCAAUCAAGUCAAGUAGCCCUGAGUCAAACACACGUUACACCUUGAGGAGAAUUUAAAAAAAAAUAAAAAAUAGAAAACACCUGCACUAACACAAACUUCAUUACGGCUAAAUGGCUUUAACACUUUUUCCCUUUUUGCUCCGUAUCUUUCAAGCAUACAGCAAGUUUUACGGAACACCAUCAAUGCUCAGAAAUUGGACACUCUCAAAACGUCUCAGGAAUCCAGCCCCUCGUUUCCCUGCAGCUGCUUUCCGUGGUGCAUUGCACUAGAUGACAGCAGGGAUCUGUGUGCAGCUAUUGAUAGCCUCCCUCUAGAAACAUCUGUCCCUGAAAAUUGCUGUCCCUCCUUCUCUCCCAGUCCCCAUUAACGGAGCACUCGGAUUUUCACGUUUUGCAUAUUUACCCUGUGGUGUUUGCAGAGUUAAACGCUUCUCCUGGUGGAGCUGAAUAAAGCCCAUUCCUCUAAGGCACAAAUACCUCCAAGUAACACUGAGAGCAAGCUGGAAUAUGGAAGUUAGGGGAAGACCUGGCAAUAAUCGUGGCGUUUUAGGUUGUACCUGUGCCAGCCACCUGGCAGCGAGUGGGGCAGGUGAAAGGCUGUGGUUGCUCUGUCCUACAUUAUUGGGCCAUGUUUCCAUGCAGCUUGCGAAAUGUUUUUCAAGAAAGAAACUUCAUUUGUAAGGUUCAAACGCACAAAACAUACCCUAAAGAAAAGGGAACGUUCGUGGUGGUGCUGACACAGGUACUGCUGCGAUGACACCGUGCUGUCCCUGUAAUCCAUCACGCCGAAACCUCCUGCAGUGGUAGUUGUGUGCUUUGGUGCAAGCCGCACGAUUUAUACUAAGAGCAGAAUUCAGGAAUAACGAAAUAAUGCUCAUUGAGCUUAAUUGCAGAAGCCCUUUGUCUAUUCCUCUUGCAACCAAAAAUAAAAUGAUCGAAAACUGUUCUUUUUUGAGGCAAACACAACGAGCUGGCUUCUUGGUUUUGUUCUUUUUUCUCAGUGAGCCUGAGAAAUUGAUGCACUGACAGAAUACAAAUAGUCGGGAAACUGAAAAAAAAAAAUCUUUGUAUCCAACGUGAACUAACAUUUGCUUUGUGCAUAUAUAAGGCAAAAUAAGCAUACAAUAAACAAACAGUGCUUUUCCAGUGAAUGGUCUUAUUGGGAGGGAAUGAGUCAAAAAAAAAAAAAAAAGAAAAUAGAUUUCUGUGAGACUUUAGGAUACGCCUUAGAGGGAAACUUGGCAUUUUUUAUAAUACCAGCGAUGGGUCAAGAGCAAGGCGUCCUGUGAUUUUUAAAUUGGUGCUAUGAGCAAUGGCCAAGCAUGCAUCUAUCCAUGCCACUUAUGCUGCAGUGUGGCCAAUGUGCUUGGCUUCUGAAUUUUAUCCUCCUCCAAGUAGAAGUGGAUGAGGUGAAGGUCAAAUUUUUUAAGUUUUGGAGUAAAAUGUUAGAAAAGCUUUAAGUGAGAGACUGCUGCCUUGCAACAAGCUGCGGGAGGACCUGUGGCUCCCCCAGGUUGUGAUUCCUGAGUGGAGAAGAACCGUAGGAGAGGUGAGCAGUGCAGGGCAGGCAGCCUGGGGGGAAGCCUCGGGUGGUGUGUAAGGAGAGGGAAAUGGGAAUAAACAGAAGGUAACGUGUGUGGAUGGACUUAAAGCUUAAUAACACAGACAUCUGGAAGCAUCUUGUUUGUUCAGCUUGCCUCUGGCAACUCUGUUGGUAAUACAAUUCGGGAGAUGGCCAGGAAAACACGCGAGUCACCUGUAGUUAUUUCAUUAUUGGACUCAAACCUUCUCGCAGUUUCUGCCACAAGAACUUGGUUGGAGGAUGAGCAGAAGGAUGCACGACACUUAUUGAUUUCUCCUAUCUUCUAGAGCAGCCCGUGGAGCGCGGGGGCUUGCUGUGCUGGUCAGAGGAUAAAAGACAGCCGCAAACAAGAGGAGCGAGGCGGGUCCUGAGAGCUGGAGUGAAGGAGUGGGGCAGGCGGAAGAUUGAUGGGAAAGAUUAAAGGCAACAGGAGUGAUUUUGAGCAGUGACCUGUGGGGAUUUCAUUGCCUUCCAUCAGAGGAGCGUAGUCUUCUGACACACAAUUUUGCCAAAGAAACCAAAGUAUUAACAGUGAUCCGUGCCCUCCACGUCUGAUACUGGGAAGUUCCUGCACUCCUCACACUGUGCAGCACUGAGAUAAUUAAAGCCAUGAUCAAGCAAAAUACGUGUGCACACGUUAGUACGUGCUGCCCAAAUUUUUUAGGGUGUUCACAUUUAACGUAUGGGUGCCAAGGAAACAUCGAGGCUGUGGGGUCCUGCUGGCAGCAGACCUGGGGAUGCCUCUGUACCUCUUGCACAGGGAUAAUGGAAUCGCAGUGCCUUCAGCGUGAAGUACCCAUAAUGGAGAACUUCAGCUAAAAAUCACGAUAAAGAACAAUUUUAUGAAUCGCCUCUUCAGCAGCUCUUCCAGGAUGAGGACAAUCAAGCAAAUUGCGCAUGGUUGAGUUUCAUGGCAAGAUAUAAAUAUACGUGGUCUCAUGUCAGCUGCUAUUUCUUCCACAGAAAUCUGUGUGUGUGCUUUACACAGAUGGGAUCUUUUGAUUUUUACACGUCUUGCCUCUUUUUUCAUGUUAAUACUCUUCAUACACCAUGAUACCAUCCAAAAAUAUUAUUUAAUCACGAUCUCAUCAUGGUUAAAUGGAUUUGAUGUA